GGGACAUAGAGGGCGAGCGGCCGGGGGAAGACGUGGGGUGUGAGCGUUGUUCGGGAGUAUGGGGCGUAAAGGGCUCGUAGGCGGUUUGUCGCGUCGGGAGUGAAAACCAUGGGCUUAACUCAUGGCUUGCUUCCGAGACGGGCAGACUAGAGGCAUGCAGGGGAGAACGGAAUUCCUGGUGUAGCGGUGAAAUGCGCAGAUAUCAGGAGGAACACCGGUGGCGAAGGCGGUUCUCUGGGCAUGUCCUGACGCUGAGGAGCGAAAGUGUGGGGAGCGAACAGGAUUAGAUACCCUGGUAUC
rnacentral:rRNA from 1 species